UUGAACGCUGGCGGCAGGCCUAACCCAUGCACGUCGAACGGUAACAGGAAGAAGCUUGCUUCUUUGCUGACGAGUGGCGGACGGGUGAGUAAUGUCUGGGAAACUGCCUGAUGGAGGGGGAUAACUACUGGAAACGGUAGCUAAUACCGCAUAACGUCGCAAGACCAAAAAGGGGGACCUUCGGGCCUCUUGCCAUCGGAUGUGCCCAGAUGGGAUUAGCUAGUAGGUGGGGUAACGGCUCACCUAGGCGACGAUCCCUAGCUGGUCUGAGAGGAUGACCAGCCACACUGGAACUGAGACACGGUCCAGACUCCUACGGGAGGCAGCAGUGGGGAAUAUUGCACAAUGGGCGCAAGCCUGAUGCAGCCAUGCCGCGUGUAUGAAGAAGGCCUUCGGGUUGUAAAGUACUUUCAGCGGGGAGGAAGGGAGUAAAGUUAAUACCUUUGCUCAUUGACGUUACCCGCAGAAGAAGCACCGGCUAACUCCGUG
rnacentral:rRNA from 1 species